rnacentral:tmRNA from 1 species
UCCUUUGCAAUUCUGGGAAUUUUGACCCAUCUUACGAGGGCUGGCUUGCCGGCUAUGGCGAUAAACGCGUUGCGGAAUAAGCGUUGCGGACCCGGGGGCAGUGCCCGGCGCCUCCACCAAAUCCUUCUUACUCUAUCUGAGGGACUUUAUGGGGGCGAAACAGGAUCGACGUGCGUAGUAAAAUCAAAGUUUUUGCUCGGCAUUGUUCCACCGUUAUCGGGCUAAUUAUACAAAUGCAAACGAUAAUGAAGCAUUUGCGGUAGCAGCUUAACAGCUAACCUACCACGGGGUUCGGAGGGCACCUAGCAACAGAAGCCCUCCACU